GUGGGGAAUAUUGCACAAUGGGCGAAAGCCUGAUGCAGCAACGCCGCGUGAGGGACGACGGCCUUCGGGUUGUAAAUCUCUUUUAGUAGGGAAGAAGCGAAAGUGACGGUACCUGCAGAAAAAGCACCGGCUAACUACGUGCCAGCAGCCGCGGUAAUACGUAGGGUGCAAGCGUUAUCCGGAAUUAUUGGGCGUAAAGAGCUCGUAGGCGGUCUGUCACGUCUGCUGUGAAAACUGGAGGCUCAACCUCCAGCCUGCAGUGGGUACGGGCAGACUAGAGUUCGGUAGGGGAGAUUGGAAUUCCUGGUGUAGCGGUGGAAUGCGCAGAUAUCAGGAGGAACACCGAUGGCGAAGGCAGAUCUCUGGGCCGUAACUGACGCUGAGGAGCGAAAGCGUGGGGAGCGAACAGGAUUAGAUACCCGGGUAGUCC
rnacentral:rRNA from 1 species